rnacentral:piRNA from 1 species
UAUGUGGCUCUGCAUAGAUGUGU